AUACGGAGGGUGCAAGCGUUACUCGGAAUCACUGGGCGUAAAGGACGCGUAGGCGGGAAGCCAAGUCUGAUGUGAAAUCCUAUGGCUUAACCAUAGAACUGCAUAGGAAACUGGUUACCUAGAGUAUGGGAGGGGGAGAUGGAAUUAGUGGUGUAGGGGUAAAAUCCGUAGAUAUCACUAGGAAUACCGAAAGCGAAGGCGAUCUCCUGGAACAAUACUGACGCUAAGGCGUGAAAGCGUGGGGAGCAAACAGGAUUAGAAACCCCAGUAGUCC
rnacentral:rRNA from 1 species